AUGUACCCACAGGUACAUUCCGGUUCCUGCGCGCCGUCCGCCUUGCCCGCAGCUCGCUCGCUACGCCCUUGGGGCC
rnacentral:sRNA from 1 species